rnacentral:rRNA from 1 species
AUAAGUAUCCUAAGCUGGAACUGCCGGGGUUUGGGGCAACCCCGGAAAGUUCAAGAGCUUGUGGGCUUGGUGCAAGCCCAUCGCCCUGGGAUCGUUUUCCUGUCUGAAACAAGGCAAUGCGAGGAAAAGGUGAAGACAAUAAAAUGGAGACUAGGUCUGAAGCACUGCCUUACUCAUGAUGGUAAGGGCAAAGGUGCGGGCAUUGCCUUGAACUGGGAUGAAUCAAUAAAAAUAAAGUGUUUGUCGUACGGCCCCCGUUAUUUUGAUGUUUUGGUGACUGAUGAUUCCCAUGGCCCUACGUGGCGUGCAACUUUUGUCUAUGGCGAACCAAGAGCGCAGGAUAGGCACCAUAUGUGGUCCUUGUUGAGAAGGAUCAAACCAAAUGCAAGUGAACCAUGGAUGGUAAUCGAGGAUUUUAACGAGACGAUGUGGCAAUCUAAACACUUCUCGAUACCUCGAAGAUCUGAAGGUCAAAUGGCAAGGUUCUGUAGUAUGUUAAAUUUCUGUGACUUGCAUGAUCUGGGGUUCAAAGGGAAGCCUUGGACCUUUAAAGGAUCGAUAAAGUUGACUAGAGGGGGGGGGUGA